rnacentral:rRNA from 1 species
UACGAAGGGGGCUAGCGUUGCUCGGAAUGACUGGGCGUAAAGGGCGCGUAGGCGGAUUGCUUUGUCAGACGUGAAAUUCCAGGGCUCAACCUUGGGGCUGCGUUUGAGACGGGUGAUCUUGAGUUCGGAAGAGGGUCGUGGAAUUCCCAGUGUAGAGGUGAAAUUCGUAGAUAUUGGGAAGAACACCGGUGGCGAAGGCGGCGAGCCUGGUCCGAGACUGACGCUGAGGCGCGAAAGCGUGGGGAGCAAACAGG